GAUGAACGCUGGCGGCGUGCCUAAUACAUGCAAGUCGAGCGAACAGACGAGGAGCUUGCUCCUCUGACGUUAGCGGCGGACGGGUGAGUAACACGUGGAUAACCUACCUAUAAGACUGGGAUAACUUCGGGAAACCGGAGCUAAUACCGGAUAAUAUAUUGAACCGCAUGGUUCAAUAGUGAAAGACGGUUUUGCUGUCACUUAUAGAUGGAUCCGCGCCGCAUUAGCUAGUUGGUAAGGUAACGGCUUACCAAGGCAACGAUGCGUAGCCGACCUGAGAGGGUGAUCGGCCAAACUGGAACUGAGAAACGGUCCAGACUCCUACGGGAGGCAGCAGUAGGGAAUCUUCCGCAAUGGGCGAAAGCUUGACGGAGCAACGCCGCGUGAGUGAUGAAGGUCUUCGGAUCGUAAAACUCUGUUAUUAGGGAAGAACAAAUGUGUAAGUAACUAUGCACGUCUUGACGGUACCUAAUCAGAAAGCCACGGCUAACUACGUG
rnacentral:rRNA from 1 species